rnacentral:sRNA from 14 species
CUGAAAAGUAUAAGAUUGUCAGCACUUUCAACUCAAUAUUCAGCCCACAUUCUAUUAAGCCUGGGUGCCUCAUGUGUGUUCUGGAGGGUGCGCCUCCAGGAGUGAGAGGCUAAUUCAUUCUUCAUGCUUAUUCAGUCCUUGGCCUUU